AUUGAACGCUGGCGGCAGGCCUAACACAUGCAAGUCGAACGAGUGGCGGACGGGUGAGUAAUGUCUGGGAAACUGCCUGAUGGAGGGGGAUAACUACUGGAAACGGUAGCUAAUACCGCAUACCAUCGGAUGUGCCCAGAUGGGAUUAGCUAGUAGGGGGGGUAAAGGCUCACCUAGGCGACGGUCCCUAGCUGGUCUGAGAGGAUGACCAGCAAAACUGGAACUGAGAGACGGUCCAGACUCCUACGGGAGGCAGAAGUGGGGAAGAGUGCACAAUGGGCGCAAGCCUGAUGCAGCCAUGCCGCGUGUGUGAAGAAGGCCUUCGGGUUGUAAAGUACUUUCAGCGGGGAGGCGUUACCCGCAGAAGAAGCACCGGCUAACUCCGUGCCAGCAGCCGCGGUAAUUC
rnacentral:rRNA from 1 species